GGAAGAACAGCUCAAGGGUAGAGCGGCGGUCUGAAAAACCGCAGGUGAUGGUUCGAUCCCAUCUUCUUCUG
rnacentral:tRNA from 1 species